rnacentral:tRNA from 1 species
GGGACCAUGGCGCAGUUUGGAGCGCGCUUUAAUCGCACUCAAGAGGUCGGGAGUUCGAAUCUCCUUGGUUCCACCA